rnacentral:lncRNA from 13 species
AUGAAGCUAUUUUUAACAGCCAACAGCUUGCAUUUAAGAAAUACCCCUCUUCACCCAAAAAUAUCCACAGUGAAUGGCAACAUCCAUGCCCGGCUCCAUCCCAGGUGGGAUGCGCUGCCGGGAUUGAAUGGCUCUUUCAGGAAAGCCCCUUUACAAGUGUCUGCUCUCCCAAACCCCGAUCCCAGCGCCAUCCGCGGCUGCGGGGACCUGCCCAGCGCGGGCAGUGACAGCAUCUGCGCUACCUUUGUCCCCGCGGGGUCCCCCGGAGCACGGACCGGCUCCGGGGCGCGUUCCCCCCGCCGUGCCCCGCUCCUGCCGCGGCUGCGGGGGAUGCUGCUCCCGGGGAGCGCCCGGGGUGCCCCAGCCCGCCGGGGAGCGGGGACAGUCCUGUGUCCCCCGGCUGCCCCCGGCUGGAGCCCCGCGUCCCCCGAGCCCAGCCGUGCCCAGCGCUGCCCCCGGGGCUGCCGCUGCCCAACUUCGCGCAAAGUCCCGCCGCCUCCAAACUUGGGGAGCCGCGGCCUGGGCACCCCCCGCCUUCCCGCAGCGCCCAUCCCAUUCCAUCCCAUCCCAUCCCACCCAAUCCGCUUCCAACCCAUCUCAUCCCAUCCCUGCGCUCCUACCUCCGCCGGCUCGGCUCGGCUCUGCCCCGCGCCCGCCGCCUCCGCCGGCUCUGCCCUGCGGGAGGGGGGCGGAGGACCAGGAGGAGGAGAAGAAGGAGGAGGAGGAGGAGGAGGAGGAGGAAGGGGGAGGGAGGGAGCAGCCCCGCCGCUCGCCGGCCGCGCUGCGCAGCCCGGGAGGCGGAGUGCUGCCGCUCGGCUGUGCCCCGCGGCUCCCCGGGACGGGGGUCCCCCCGGGGCUGCUGGGGUCCCCCCGGGGCUGCGGGUGCCGGGAUGGGGUGCGAGCCGAGCGGUCCCGCUGCGGGGGAUGCGCCGCGGAACCCGCCGGGGGGGGUGCGGGGCAUCCCCCGGGCAUCCCCCGGGCAUCCCCCGGGCAUCCCCCGGGCAUCCCGGGCCCCAAGAACCGCCAGCGGCAGCGCCGGGGGAUGGAUCGAGAGCAUCGGGAAGGAGAUGGGCCCCUCCUGAGCCCCCCCGACAGGAAUUUGGGCUGUCCCGAGAGAGCGGUGUGCGGGUGGCACCGGCAUCCCGAAUCCGG